rnacentral:ncRNA from 1 species
UGGUCCCAGCCUUGAAAUCAAUUGUUACUUAAUAUACACAUGCAAGUCUCAGCACCCCUGUGAGAACGCCCUUAAUUUCCUAGCAGGAACAAGGAGCUGGUAUCAGGCACAAUUUUUAGCCCAAGACACCUAGCUAUGCCACACCCACAAGGGAUUUCAGCAGUGAUUAACAUUGAGUAUAAGCGACAGCUUGACUCAGUUAAAGUAAAAAGAACUGGCAAAUCUGGUGCCAGCCGCCGCGGUUACACCAGAGGUUCAAAUUGAUUCUUUUCGGCGUAAAGCGUGAUUAAAGCCCAUUAAACAAUUAUAGUUGUAUUAGGACUAAGCUGUGACACGCUUGUACCUAAGAGAUCCAAAAACGAAAGUUACUAUAUUUAUAACAACUUGAACCCACGACAGCUAGGACACAAACUGGGAUUAGAUACCCCACUAUGCCUAACCGUAAACCUUAAAUUACACCCACAUCGCCAGGGAACUACGAGCAAAGCUUAAAACCCAAAGGACUUGACGGUACCCCAUAUCCACCUAGAGGAGCCUGUCCUAUAAUCGAUAAUCCACGCUUAACCUCACCAUUUUUAGCCUACCAGCCUGUAUACCUCCGUCGUCAGCUUACCUCGUGAGCGAUUUUUAGUGAGCUUAAUGUCCACACGCCAAUACGUCAGGUCAAGGUGCAGUAAAUAAAAUGGGAAGAGAUGGGCUACACUCUCUAGUAUAGAAUACACGAAAGACUACAUAUGAAAUCUAGUCAGAAGGCGGAUUUAGUAGUAAAAAGAGAUCAUAAAGCUCUUUUUAACAUGGCACUGGGGUGUGUACACACCGCCCGUCACCCUCUUCAAAGCUAAUAGAUAGUACUUAACGUAAUAUGGCAAAACAGAAGAGGCAAGUCGUAACAUGGUAAGUAUACCGGAAGGUGUGCUUGGAAA